GACGAAUGCUGGCGGCGUGCUUAACACAUGCAAGUCGAACGGAAAGGCCCUGCUUUUGUGGGGUGCUCGAGUGGCGAACGGGUGAGUAACACGUGAGUAACCUGCCCUUGACUUUGGGAUAACUUCAGGAAACUGGGGCUAAUACCGGAUAGGAGCUCCUGCUGCAUGGUGGGGGUUGGAAAGUUUCGGCGGUUGGGGAUGGACUCGCGGCUUAUCAGCUUGUUGGUGGGGUAGUGGCUUACCAAGGCUUUGACGGGUGGCCGGCCUGAGAGGGUGACCGGCCACAUUGGGACUGAGAUACGGCCCAGACUCCUACGGGAGGCAGCAGUGGGGAAUAUUGCACAAUGGGCGGAAGCCUGAUGCAGCAACGCCGCGUGCGGGAUGACGGCCUUCGGGUUGUAAACCGCUUUCGCCUGUGACGAAGCGUGAGUGACGGUAAUGGGUAAAGAAGCACCGGCUAACUACGUG
rnacentral:rRNA from 1 species